AUUGAACGCUGGCGGCAUGCUUUACACAUGCAAGUCGAACGGUAACAGGCCGCAAGGUGCUGACGAGUGGCGAACGGGUGAGUAAUGCAUCGGAACGUGCCCAGUCGUGGGGGAUAACGCAGCGAAAGCUGCGCUAAUACCGCAUACGAUCUAUGGAUGAAAGCGGGGGACCUGUAAGGGCCUCGCGCGAUUGGAGCGGCCGGGGUCAGAUUAGGUAGUUGGUGGGGUAAAGGCUCACCAAGCCGACGAUCUGUAGCUGGUCUGAGAGGACGACCAGCCACACUGGGACUGAGACACGGCCCAGACUCCUACGGGAGGCAGCAGUGGGGAAUUUUGGACAAUGGGCGCAAGCCUGAUCCAGCAAUGCCGCGUGCAGGAAGAAGGCCUUCGGGUUGUAAACUGCUUUUGUACGGAACGAAACGGCUCUGGUUAAUACCUGGGGCUAAUGACGGUACCGUAAGAAUAAGCACCGGCUAACUUCGUGCCAGCCGCCGCGGUAAAAC
rnacentral:rRNA from 1 species